UGUUGUUAGUGGAGGCUUAGUGGUCUCCAAGGAAUUUCAAAUGUCCCUAUAACUCAUCAGCUCACAGAGUCCUGGAGGCACUCACCUUCGCUUGUCCCAUGAAACUCCUGCCAAAGUCCUGACUGACAGGUGGCAUUAUUAGUACUGACCUCACUAUCAGCGUGUACAUCGCCGGUUGAUCAUCCCUACACUGUC
rnacentral:lncRNA from 1 species